CCAACUCUUCCACGAACCCCCCACGAAUGGUCCUCCCUUAACUCAAUGAACUAUGAGAAUUCCUUUGCCUAGUUUUUUUCUUUUCAGUUCUCAUAAGUCCUUGAUAUACUAGCAGAAACUCAAUACUUGACCGACUGCGUCACAGUGCUCAGGUAAAGUGGCAGUGGUUGAAAGCGAGCGGAAACGUCAGUGUUUUCUGUGCGUUACGAUAGUAGUGGUGAAAGAAAAUCCAAUUCUAAUAUCUCAACGUA
rnacentral:lncRNA from 1 species